UGCCAUGAAAUUAUAUUGAUUGGUUCACUUUUCUGGAAGUUCUUGAUGUAUUCGAUGAUUCUCACCAACACUACAGUUUGAAGAGUGCGGACGCAGUCCCCCACUACCACAAAUUAUGC